rnacentral:rRNA from 1 species
AAUAAGCACAUUUUACAACAUUACAACUUUUUAAAGAAAAAAUGUAACUAAACUAGUACUUCAAACCAAAAUACAAUUAUAAACACCCGCAAGGCAAUUCAUACCAUAAAAUUUAAGAAAUGAUACACCCACUUACCUUUUGCAUAAUGUAAUUGCAACAAAAAACAAUCUAAAAUCGUUUCCCGAAAAGUGGGGAGCUACUAUAAGCAUCAACCCUUAAUGUAACACUACUAAGAAACAGCUUAUAGUAGCAGCGAAACACCUAUCGAACCACUUGAUAGCUGGUUGUUCUUAAAAGACAUAUAAGUGUCUUCUUACAGUCACAGAACCAAAUUACCUAACUGUAAGAAAAACCCUCAGGAGGAUAAGCUCCUAAGGUCUAUCAGAAACAACUAAACAACAACACCUCAUAAAGGCUUAAAAACAGCCAAACAUAUCCGUUAUAGGAAACGACACCAAAAAUUCAAAAUAAAAAGCACAAAAUUCUACUUAAUAAAGAACCUAAAAAAGUAACCGAACUUUUAAUGAACUGGCAAUUAUUAGUAUCAUACACAAUACUUGAUAAGUCAACUCUAUAAAAACAACUUUUCAAAACCAAUUAGCCUAGCUAAUCAUUGGCAAUGAACUCGGCAAAUCCUUUCUUUGCCUGUUUAUCAAAAACAUCGUCUUUUGUUAUUUACACCCAUAAAAGAUAUUGCCUGCCCCAUGAUUUUAAAAUUAAAUGGCCGCGUUAGCGUGAGCGUGCUAAGGUAGCGUAAUAAACAGCUCUCCAAUUAAGAGCCAGUGAAUGGCCAAACAAAGAAAAACUUUAUCGCCAAUGACAAGAAAACUUUUCCUCUAAGUGCAAAGACUUAGAUAAAAGAAAAAGACAAAAAGACCCCGCGGAACUCUCUAACAGCUUUAUACCUAAAUUUUAACUCCAUGCUUAUAGCUAGUUAGUUGGUUGGGGCAACCUUGGAGCAAACAAAACCUCCAUUCAUUUUAACAAACCAUACAAAACUUAAUAUGGACCAUAUUCGCAGUUACCCCGGGGAUAACAGCGUAAUCCAACUUGAGAGUACGAAUCGAAAGUUGGGUUUGCGACCUCGAUGUUGGCUUAGGGAAAGCAACUUGGCGCAGCCGCUAAGCUACAGUGCCAGUCUGUUCGACUGCUAACUCCCUACACGAGCUGAGUUAAGACCGGCGAGAGCUAGGUUGGAUUCUAUCUUUUCUUCUUUAACCAAAUUCUUUAUUGUACGAAAGGACCCAAAGAAACACACAAAAUAGUGGCCCCAUGAGUAAACAUAAUAGCUUAAUACAACACUC